rnacentral:lncRNA from 1 species
GCUGGAUAUCUCUGAUGGAAGUGGACUCAUGUGUUCAUGGUGGAAAUACACAAGAAACAUGCCUCCAGAAAACUGGAGUGAGGCUCAAGAGCUUUUUGAUGGAAAUUACUGCCAAUAUUUGCUCUAAUACUCAAGGCUUCAUGCCUACAGGAUGAAUGAGCUGACCACCUUCUGGAGGACAGUCACACGUCAUGUGCAAAUCCUCAGUACAGCACUCAGUAUAGCCACUCUGAAAGAUGGAACCUAGGAUUUCUUCCAGUGUCCAUCCUAAUGAUGUCCUACAGCUGUGAAGAAACGUAAAUAAUUAACUCACUAUAAAGACAGUCUACAGAGAUCCACAACAACCUCACUGUAUGGUAGAAAAGACACCCCCAAGAAUACUAUAUUGUUAUGAGAAAAAAAAUAGUCAUAAAGCAGAAUGUUGCCUGUGAUCUAAUUUGUUGGCAGAUCAGAAGAGUCUAGAAGGGAUUGGAAAUCUAUCUCAGUUGGUAGAGUGGAAGACAUUACUGUCAGAAGAUAAUUCUAUCUGCUGUUGGAAAAAAACACACACACACAGCACAGGGGCUGGGAUACAACUCAGUUGAAGUGUUUGACCACCAUGCGAGAAGCCCUGUAUUCAGGCUGCAGCACCACAUAAACUGGGCGUUGCGUUACACACCUUUAAUCCUAGCCCUCGGGAGGUGGAAGCAGGAGGGGUGAGUACAAGGUCAUCCUCUACUAUAUAAUGAGUUCGAGGCUAGCCUGAGAUACAUGAGAUUCUGUCUCCAGAAAACAAACUAUACAACGGGGGACAACAGACCAUAGUGAAGAAGGAACCCUCAGGAACCAAUGAGCUAGUGUGAGAAACUGUGGCUGAAGAACAGCAUUGGUGACUUGGGGACAAGCUUUCAGGUCACACUAAAGACACAGCUGUAAGAAUUGACCAGGAAGAUACACCCAGUCCUCAUAAAGAGCUGUGUCGAUGCCUAAAUCAUCAGACCUCACAACCACAGUAAGUCAGGAGAUAUUUGUCUUCUUUCUACAUUAGGAGAACAAGGGUUGGAGAGAAGAAGCUGGGGUUGACUAAUGGAUUUGCUAUGCUAAUUAAGAGGGGGGAUGACAGGCCACACAAGGCACUGGUCACAGAGAGAUAGGUGCUAGAGCCCUGCUCUACAGCCUGAGACAGUUGUCGUGUAUUACAUCAUUGACAACCAUACAAUUCCCAGUGCCCUUAUAACAACCAAUAAGAAGGAAGCUAGUGGAUACAUUAGUUGGAUUAAUAAAAACCAUUGCACAGUGCAGACCUGUGUCAACCACCUAGUGUAUCAUAAACACAUACGCUGUCCCAAUACAAAUUGAAAAAUAAAAGCAUGUAAGGACAGUCAUUAUUGUAGUUCACAAGGUUCAAAUGCCCAGCAAAGCUGUCUCAUAGGCACAGUAGUGGCAUGAGGUUAUGAGAGUAGCCAGCCACUUUCUGAUUGGAUUUAAAGCCCACUUCAUGAGAUAGAAUCCAUGCCUGCCACUGUUAGUGAGGCCGGGAACCUGGGGCUAGACAUGUCAUAGGCUCUAAUAGAAGACCUGAUGCUAUUAUUGUGAUAAGUGGAUAUAGUAUUAAACCAGCCCUAAUAACUUAUCACUAUAUCCAUAGAUUGGUGUGUCUCUCAACCCUCUUCAGAGAAGCUUCUUAUUGCAGUAGAUGGCAAUUAACAUGGAGACCCACAAGCCAUAUAGAUAAGAGACUAUAGAGUAACUAGUUCUAAAUGGGAUGGCUAUAUCACAGCCUUCCGCUUAAGUCUCGGGGAUCAUUGCAAAGGAAGAGGAACUAUUAUAACAGUCACAGGCAGUGAGUAACCACUGGAAACUGUUUUCGGAUACAACAGGGCAGUUGUAUGUAUAAACACACAGUAGUCGUGAUAGCAUGCAUAAGACCUGUGGAAGCUCAAGCCAGACAAAACCCUAGCAUGGAGGUCGGGAGGAGGGCACUGUGACCCAUAGCUGAUUAGAUAUUGGCAAUCAAUAGUUGCCCUUAAAGGAGUCAGUUUUCUUUAAAGGUGUGACCCCUGGUAGGUCAGCUACGGUCCAGAGCAGGCCCUACACUGAGGGAUAUUUGGGGAGCACAAAUUGGACUCAAUGGGUUUAAAAGAGAGAAAGCACACAAAUUUGGGUUGGUAGGAAGAUACUGGUUAAUCUAGGAAGACUCUGGAGAGGAAUGGGUGGGUAGGAUGUGGAGAUUAAUCUGGGAGGAGUUGGUAGGUAGGUGGAUAUGAUCAAAACAUGUUGCAUGAACUUCUCAAAUAAUUAAUAAAUAAUUAAUAAUUAUUUAUAAUUAAUAAUUAAUAAUAAUCAAAUAAUUAAUAAAACUUUUUAGUAUGAAUAUAUAAUAAAGUAAUAAAGAUUAAAAUAACUAAUUAGGGUAAGAGAUGUAUCUCAGUUGUUAUAGUGUUUUCCCAGGAUGCAUGAAGUCCCAGGUUCAAUCCCCAGCACCAUAUAAAACUAGACAUGGUGGAACACAGUUACAACCUUAGCACUCAGGGAGCAGAAGGAGGAGGACCAUCCUGAACUACAUAGCAAGUUUUCUGCCUGUCUUAGUUAGUGUUUACUACUACUGUGAUGAGACACCACACCCAUGGUAACUCCCGUAAAGAAAACAUUUAAUUGAGGAGGGCUCAUUUAUAGUUUUAGAAGGGGAGAGUGGCAGCAUGCAGGUAGAUCCGGUCCUGGAGUUGAGAGUCCUAUAUCUUAUAGGCAAUAGGAAGCUGACGGAGGGAAGCUUGAGAAAAAGAGACCUCAAAGCCCACCCCCACAGUGACACACUUCCUCCAACAAGGUCACACCUCGUAAUAGCACCACUCCCUUUGGGGCCAUUUUCUUUCAAACCACCACAAUGCCAGCCUAGAUUCUCUGAGCACAUAAAGAAAAUAAGAAGCAUGCAUGCAUUUUAGGCUCUUUGCAGUCAGAGCAUGCACUGGUAAGUUGUAGUAACAAGCAAGCCUAACUAUUCCUGGUAUGAAACACUCAUCUUCUGAAGCCCUAUAUGUCAGCCACAAGCCACAAUAGCCAAAGAGGUCAGGAGGAGCCAGGUGCCCAGGCUGAUCAGAGAGUCAUCACCUGAAAUGGGGCAGAGCGAAAGAGAGAACUCUUUAUUUUUUUUCCUGAAGGUGCAAGUAAGUGCCAUGGCCUGAGUGCCAGCAGUGGUUUCUAGAAACCAUUCAUGAGGCAGUACACAGAUCAUAGGGGGAGGGGGAGGGGGAGGGCAGCGGCGUUACCCCACAGCAAGCUAGGGAGCCUGAGUAAGCAGGGCCACUCUACAAUUACAAGCAACAGGAUCAGCUCUUCUUGGUGGAAACAAAAAGAGGAGGGUUUGACAGGAAAAUGCCAACAGAUGUGUCUCCUAGAAGCACAGGAUAGGAGGAGACCCAGGGCCCGGAGAGAGGAGCAUCCAAAGACACUGCAGGAGGAGGCUGUGUCCCCCACACCUACCCACACACACACUACCAAAGGGACUGAUUCAUUGCCCACACAGUAGCCAGGGAGAACAAGUUCCUCCACAAAGCCCAGGUAGCAUGCCAUCAGGGCUAAGAACUUACACAGCACACGAUGAGAGGAUAAGAAGGUGCCAUUGCAGGCUCUGAACUGUAAGUAUAAAUCUUUCGGCCAGCUGCCCGAGUUCUGCCAGCCACCACAUUAGGGCCCCAAGUAACACAGAGAGACUUAUAUUAGUUACAAUGCUGCUGGCCAAUGACUAGGAUUUCUUAAUCUAUAUGUUUUAUAAAGACGUAUCUUAUUGAGAACACUGGCAGAAUGCAUCCUCUUUCCAGGAUCAUAUGGUAGCUCCACAGAGAAGAGAGGAGGAGGAAGAGAAUGACUUCCUGUUUGUCCCUGCUUAUAUUCUGAGUCUGCCUGCUAUGUCACUUCCUGUCUGGAUCACAAGACUUCUCUUUACUACAUUUCCCAGAAUCCUCCUCAACUCCUGGUCCCACCUAACUUGCUUCCCUAUUGGCCAACAGUACUUUAUUUAUCAACCAAUAAGACAAACAUAUACACAGAAAGACCUCCCCCAUCACUGAACUCAUACCUACACUCUCCCAAGGUGGUGACGUCUUGCCUACACAUGCUAGAGGGAGGGACCUCCAGUCACAAACAUGGGCUACCAUAGGCUAGGGCUGCCCAUGACUGAUGUCUAGAGAACCAGAGCCUUUUGAGGUGGGGAGCUGGGGUCCCAGCAAGAGGGUGCAAGCUGGAGGUCCCCAGAUCCCCAAAUACUCAUCCUUGGAUCCUAGCAAGACUUCACAGAUAUAAAGGGACCUGGAAGCUUGACAUAAAGUGAAUUUUCCUAACUAGGCAUGGUGUCUCUCACUCAUAACCCCAGCUCUUGUGAGGCUAAAGUAGGAUUGCCAUGAGUUCAAGGGCAUCCUGGGCUACAUAGUGAG